AUCUACAGCCAUACCACCCUGAACGUGCCUGAUAUCAUCUGAUCUCAGAAGCUAAGCAGGGUCGGGCCUGGUUAGUACUUGGAUGGGAGAAUUUUGAGGCAUUGCUUCACUGUCUUUC
ensembl:rRNA 5S_rRNA 5S ribosomal RNA